rnacentral:lncRNA from 1 species
GUAAUCAUGAAAAGUUGUCUAGUAUAGUUUUUAAAUAAAGAUUCGCAAUGCGUUAUGUGAAAAUAAAUGAAUAUCUUCAUGCGGUCAGAUUAUUUGAGUGUUAAAAUACUAGAAAAGUGCUUAUUUACCACUUGUUCUACAACUUAACAUGGGGAACACAGCUAAAAAAAAUCACUAUGUCAAAGGGAGUUAAUCCAUUUUUUCAUAUGAUUUUAUAUAUAUUAUGAGGAGAAAUAUGUGCAAAAUGUGAUGUAAAUGGGGAGGAUAUUUGUGCCUUUCAUUGAUAUCAUAACUCUAAAGUGCCAUUUCUACUGUUUCUUUCAAUCUGCACA